rnacentral:rRNA from 1 species
GAUGAACGCUGGCGGCGUGCCUAAUACAUGCAAGUCGAGCGAACAGAUGAGGAGCUUGCUCCUCUGACGUUAGCGGCGGACGGGUGAGUAACACGUGGAUAACCUACCUAUAAGACUGGGAUAACUUCGGGAAACCGGAGCUAAUACCGGAUAAUAUAUUGAACCGCAUGGUUCAAUAGUGAAAGACGGUUUUGCUGUCACUUAUAGAUGGAUCCGCGCCGCAUUAGCUAGUUGUUAAGGUAACGGCUUACCAAGGCAACGAUGCGUAGCCGACCUGAGAGGGUGAACGGCCACACUGGAACUGAGACACGGUCCAGACUCCUACGGGAGGCAGCAGUAGGGAAUCUUCCGCAAUGGGCGAAAGCCUGACGGAGCAACGCCGCGUGAGUGAUGAAGGUCUUCGGAUCGUAAAACUCUGUUAUUAGGGAAGAACAAAUGUGUAAGUAACUAUGCACGUCUUGACGGUACCUAAUCAGAAAGCCACGGCUAACUACGUG